ensembl:lncRNA
GGAUGGGAGAGCAGUCUCAAGUAGUGACCCUCUCACCCCCAAGCCACCUUCUUGUUCUCAGUGGUUCUUCAACUGGAGCCUGCUUCAGGGCAGGCCUGGGAGCUUCUGAAAAGAUUGCCGCCUCCCACCCCAAGUUUCUGAUUUGGUAUCGCUAGCUUGUGGGACUCUCUGGAUGCUUCUGCUGCUGCUGCUGCUAAGUCACUUCAGUUGUGUCUGACUCUGUGCAACCCCAGAGACGGCAGCCCACCAGGCUCCCCCGUCCCUGGGAUUCUCCAGGCAAGAACACUGGAGUGGGUUGCCAUUUCCUUCUCCAAUGCAUGAAAGUGAAAAGUGAAAGUGAAGUCGCUCAGCCGUGUCCGACUCCUAGCGACCCCAUGGACUGCAGCCUAUCAGGCUCCUCCGCCCAUGAGAUUUUCCAGGCAAGAGUACUGGAGUGGGGUGCCAUUGCCUUCUCCCUGGAUGCUUCUAAUGUGCUCCAUCAGCCAGGCCUGACGAAGCUUGAGUUCAAGGGCUUUUCCAGGGUAGACUCCUCCCCUCACCACCCAUCAUCAC